GAAUGAGAGACUUAUCUGACUGUGGUAUCUGUCACCUUAUUGAUCUGCAGAAUUGAUUCAGCUCAUCUGGCUGGCUUGGCGGUUGUCUGCUUUUCUCUUACUGCUCCAUGUGUGUCCCUCCCAAAACUGCAUGCUUAAAAUGAUGACCUUCCACAGUAGAGGAAGAUCACUGUUUAGUCAAGGGUGUGGGUAGCUGUACUCUCCUGUUGGAACCUCUAGUUGAGCUCUCCAGAUAUUGCUGAGGUAGAUGAGUUCACUUGUUCUUCUCCAGUUUAGACUGGUGGAUGUUGGAGAGAGA
rnacentral:snRNA from 1 species